rnacentral:snRNA from 1 species
GAGCCCGCUUCAGCACCACAUAUACUAAAACUGGAACAAUACAGAGUAGAUUAGCAUGGCCCCUGAGCAAGGAUGACAUGCAAAUUCGCGAAGUGUUCCAUAUUUUU